GAUGAACUGUGGGUAGCGGAGAAAUUCCAAUCGAACCCGGAGAUAGCUGGUUCUCUCCGAAAUAGCUUUAGGGCUAGCCUUGAAAUAGAUUACCGGAGGUAAAGCACUGAAUUGGCUAGGGGCCGAGAGGUUACUGAACCUUAUCAAACUAAGAAUGCCGGAUAAUCGUUUUUCAGGAGUCAGACAGUGGGAGAUAAGUUUCAUUGUCAAAAGGGAAACAGCCCAGACCCACAGCUAAGGUCCCCAAGUAUAGUUAAGUGGAAAAGGAUGUGGAAUUGCACAGACAACCAGGAUGUUGGCUUAGAAGCAGCCACUCAUUAAAAGAGUGCGUAAUAGCUCACUGGUCGAGUGACUCUGCGCGGAAAAUAUAACGGGGCUAAGCAUGCAACCGAAGCUUAGGAUGUCCGCAAGGGCGUGGUAGGGGAGCGUCGUGUACGGGGUGAAGUCGCAGCGGAAGCAGCGGUGGACUGUACAGGAGUGAGAAUGCCGGAAUGAGUAGCGAGAAUUAUGUGGGAAUCAUAAUGGCCGAAAAUCUAAGGUUUCUUGGGGAAGGUUCGUCCGCCCAAGGUUAGUCGGGAGCUAAGCUCAGGCCGAAAGGCGUAGGCGAUGCACAUACGGUAGAAAUUCCGUAACCACCGAACAUUUAAGCUAGAGGGACGCUUUCUUUAAGGUUAUCCCGGGCGAUGGUUGCCCCGGGCGUAAGGGACCGAAAUUUAGUAGGGAAGUAACUGGCGAGAGAGACGAGAAAAGCUCUAGUGUAUACUAAGGUGCCCGUACCGCAAACCGACACAGGUAGAUGGGAUGAGUAUUCUAAGGCCAACGGGAGAAGGGUUGUUAAGGAACUCGGCAAAUUGGCCCCGUAACUUCGGGAUAAGGGGCGCCUGCGAGAGCAGGCCGCAGUGAAAAGGCCCAAGCGACUGUUUAGCAAAAACACAGCUCUCUGCUAAAUCGAAAGAUGACGUAUAGGGGGUGACGCCUGCCCGGUGCUGGAAGGUUAAGGGGAGUGCUUAGCGCAAGCGAAGGUGCGAACUUAAGCCCCAGUAAACGGCGGCCGUAACUAUAACGGUCCUAAGGUAGCGAAAUUCCUUGUCGGGUAAG
rnacentral:rRNA from 1 species